rnacentral:rRNA from 1 species
GUCCUAUUGUAUUCUUUAAUAGGUCUGGCCUGCCCAGUGAUAAUUUUAACGGCCGCGGUAUAUUGACCGUGCAAAGGUAGCAUAAUCAUUAGUCUUUUAAUAGAAGGCUGGAAUGAAAGGUUUAACGAGAAAUUAACUGUCUCAAUUACAUACUUGAAUUUAUCUUUUGAGUCAAAAGACUUAAAUAUAAUUGGUGGACGAGAAGACCCUAUAGAGCUUUACAAUUUUAUUUCUAUAUUUAUAUAGUAAUAUUAUUUAUUUAUAUUUAUAAAAUUGUUUUGUUGGGGUGACAAUAAAUAUAUAUUUAACUUUUAUCAUAAUAUAAACAUUAAUUUAUGAUUUUUGGAUCCAAAAAUUUUGAUCAAUAGAUUAAGUUACC